AACGUAGGACGCAAGCGUUAUCCGGAGUUACUGGGCGUAAAGGGCAGGCAGGCGGGUCGAUAAGUCGGAUGUGAAAUCUCCCUGGCUUAACCGGGAGAGUGCAUUUGAGACUGUCAACCUGGAGGGCAGCAGAGGAGCGUGGAAUUCCUGGUGUAGCGGUGAAAUGCGCAGAUAUCAGGAAGAACACCCGUGGCGAAGGCGGCUCUCUGGGACGGUACUGACGCUGAGACGCGAAAGCGUGGGGAGCGAACAGG
rnacentral:rRNA from 1 species